ACGAACGCUGGCGGCGUGCCUAACACAUGCAAGUCGAACGAGAAAGGGGCUUCGGCUCCGAGUAAAGUGGCGCACGGGUGAGUAACACGUGGGUAACCUGCCUCUAAGAUUGGGAUAACUCGUCGAAAGAUGAGCUAAUACCGAAUAAGACCACAGUUCCCGCGGGAACAGGGGUCAAAGGUAGCCUCUGCUUGCAAGCUAUCACUUAGAGAUGGGCCUGCGCACCAUUAGCUAGUUGGUAGGGUAACGGCCUACCAAGGCAAAGAUGGUUAGCUGGUCUGAGAGGAUGAUCAGCCACACUGGAACUGAGACACGGUCCAGACUCCUACGGGAGGCAGCAGUGGGGAAUAUUGCGCAAUGGGCGAAAGCUUGACGCAGCAACGCCGCGUGAGUGAUGAAGGCCUUCGGGUCGUAAAGCUCUGUCGGCAGGAACGAAUGCUCCUGAGGUUAACAGCCUCGGGAGGUGACGGUACCUUCAAAGGAAGCACCGGCUAACUCUGUG
rnacentral:rRNA from 1 species